UGAUGAGACGAGUGUAUCUAGGGCGG
rnacentral:piRNA from 1 species